rnacentral:rRNA from 1 species
CGGUAAUACGAACCGUCCAAACGUUAUUCGGAUUUAUUGGGCUUAAAGGGUAUGUAGGCGGCCCUUCAAGUCGGGUGUGAAAGCCCUCGGCUCAACCGAGGAACUGCGCCCGAUACUGUGGGGCUCGAGGGAGACAGAGGUAAGCGGAACUGAUGGUGGAGCGGUGAAAUGCGUUGAUAUCAUCAGGAACACCAGUGGCGAAAGCGGCUUACUGGGUCUCUUCUGACGCUGAGAUACGAAAGCUAGGGGAGCGAACGGGAUUAGAUACCCCGGUAGUCCUAGCUGUAAAUAAUGAGCACUUGAUCGUGGGGCCCCCCAUAGCCUCUCGGUCGCAGCGAAAGUGGUAAGUGCUCCGCCUGGGGAGUAUGGUCGCAAGGCUGAA